rnacentral:lncRNA from 1 species
AUGCAAGACAUCAUUGAUAAAGGUUGCCAUUCGCCUGCAAGCUAUUGAAAAACUCGAUAUUAUUCAAUGUUUUAAUUCAUCAAGAUCUUCAUCAUUUAUUUUAACCUAUAGAGUUGAGUCUAACUUCAUUAAACAGGAAGUGAUUAGUGUGCAGCUAUUUCCGUUGGAAGCGAAGAAGCUCUCGAGGAUUCCUCGUCUUCGUCUUCAUCUUCAUCUUCAACUGUCUGAAUACUUCCACAUCCACCAUCUCUGCAUAACAUCUUUGAAUGUUUAUGAAGUUGGGGCAACAGCUCCAUAGCAAUGCAUCCAGGAAAGCCCGGGGCGCUGCAACACCCCGUAUCGUCAAACUCUCCACCACAGGUAUAGCUAAACCAUCUCCCGUGUAUCCACAUCCACCAUGUGGCAACUCGCAGACGAAUACAGUGAGGUGAACUCGUGACGGGCUCAACAUUUUCACAAGUUGGUUCAACGACGAAGCAGUGGCCCUGUCGGGCGAGCAACGUACGUGUAUAUCCGACUCCCAUCCCCUACCACCCGUUGUAUUGAACUCGAGGCGCGGAACAUCACGACCCUCAAAUUUGAAGUAUCGAAGAUUUGGAACAUCAAACUCCGCAUUCACGCUACUAGGUUGAGGUAGGACUAUGGCUAUGCGCUCAAGCGAUGGGCUGCAAAUUCUCACAUCGUCCCACUCAUAUUUUGAGUUGCAAUCCACAAUAGCCAAUUCUUUGAGACAAGGAAAUUGAUGCCACAAAUUGAAAUUAGAGGAUUUUGAUAAGCUAUCUCUAAUAUCCAAACCCUCCAAUCGCAAAUACUUGAGCUUAUGCAGUUUGAUCAUCUUAUCAACACAAAAGGGAUGUGAACUCGUGAGUUUUCUCAAUGUUAAUUCCUCAAGGGAUGGGCAUCUCGAAAUCAGAUCCCUAAUUAAAUCACUAUUCACAGUCACAUUGGAUAGACUAAGGGAUUUAAGAUUGGGGGAUUUAUUCCUGUUUUUGAAAUCAACCAUAGCCCUAGAAACAGAUAAUCUAGCUAGGGUUUGGGAUUCAAGCACCUCAUCUGGUAUAACAAAGCACCUUCUCGUAUCCCAGACUGAAAAUUCAACGGUGAGAUCAAUAGCCCCCAAUUUGAUCGCUUUCAAAAUCAAUUCGGUAGCGAGAGAAUCGUCGUGAACUAUCAUCCAUAGCUUGAAACUCUUCAUCUUUGGGUUCAAAUCUUCAUACCUCUGCAUAAAGUUCCUCGUGAAUCUGGGGAAGUCAUCCAUGGAAUGCCGAAACGCGAAUUGAUCGAAGCAGAGGUGGGGGCGCGUGGACCACGCGCGGUGCCAGGAUUUGGAUAGGAAAGUGGAUCGAGCAGCAUCUCUUUCGCUUAAAAGAGAUUGUAUGUGUUGAAUGAUUUCUUCUGGAAAUUCGGAUUCGCCAUCUGCCGCGAUUCUUUUCUGCGCAUUCUCCAUGGGAAGAACUCCAAAUUUUGAAUGGUUUUUUAGGAUUUCAAAAUUUUGGACGGCUUCUGUUUCUGUUCCUGCCUCAUAUAUAUAUAUAUAUAUAUCGAAUAAUUGAAUUCGGAUCGGACUGCGAUGUUUGUAUUAUGGGUUAUUUUACUCGCUAUAAUCCCGUGUAUAAUCGUUAUUGAAUUCCGGGUUUUAAAUCUUGAAUUCAUGAUUAAUAAUAUUUUUAGUUGUGAAUUCACGACUAAUACUAUUUAUAGUUGUGAAUUCACUCGAAUUCAAGACUAACACUAUUUAUAUAGUUGUGAUUUCACGUUUUAAAACUUUAAUUCACGACUAACACUAUUUUUAGUUGUGAAUUCAAAUUUUAAAACUUAAAUUCACAACCAAUACUAGUUAUUCAAUUGUGAAUUCGAGUUUUAAAGAUUGAAUUCACAAUCAAAAUAAAUGAUGGUUGUAAAUUUGACUGGGUGUGAAUGCGCAGGUAAUUUUUAUAUGCAAUGGUAAAAUGAUAAGUGCGGCUAAUUUUUAAUUUUUUUGUUAUCUUAACAGGCAAUUUAAAAUUUACUAUUCCAAAAUGGCUAUUUUCAAAAUUCACUCUAUAUUAUUAAAUUUCAUAUAGGAUAUGCAAAAUAUAUAUUUAAAUAAUUAAAUUACGUACAUUUAAAAUGUCGAAAUGAAUUAUAUAUAUAGGGGUGCACUCCAAUGAGACCCCUAUUUUUCGUGAGACACUGGGUGCAAUAAAUGAGACAUAUUUACAGAUGAACAAUGCAAUAUAUACUGAUGAAUAACGAAAUUUAAAAUAUUUCGCUCCCUCCAGGAUUCGAACCCCGAGAAAAAAAUUGGUCCUGUAAAUACAAUAUCAGUCAUAUGAUUGAUAAAAUAAACACACGAGAUCGUGUUUAAGAUCUCACUAAAAAUAUGGGUCUCAUUGGAGCGCCCUCAUAUAUAUAUACAUGUGUGUGUGUGUGUCACGAUUUUAUUGGUAAUCAAACAAAUUUGAUAUUUUUUUUUUAUAAAAAGCUUAUUCUAGUUUUCUAUUUAUAUAUUCAUGAUUCAUCUUAUUUGCGGACCUAAAUAUAAAUAUAAUGCAUUGAUGGAGGAAAUUGGAAGUGGAAAAGUACAUUUCUGUUCAUAUUUAAAUAUAAGAUAAAAUAUAAGAUAAAUUUUUAGUUAUUAUUUUAAACAGUGAUUAUGAAUGAUAUCACCCAUUUCAAAGGUCUACAAAUAAAGCCCAAUGAUCUUCGAAUAUUUCAAAGAAAUAGGCCCAAUAUAAAGCCCAAAUUCGUCAGACGAGUUCUAAUUCGUAAAUGCUCCAACACAAAAAUAAAUAAUUAUAACAAAAAAUAAAGAAGCUUAAAUAAUACUCCCUCCGUGGCUCUGUCCCACUAAUCUUGACACGUUUGGUUUCGACAUGAGAAUUAAUGAAUUGUAGAUUAGUGUUUUAAGUGUAUAGUUAAUAAAGUAUAAAAGUGAUAAAGUAGGAAAUAUAAUGUAAUAAUUAUUACCUUAUUUGGAAAUGUGUCAAGAUUCGUGGGACGGUCCAAAAAGAAAAAUGUGUCAAAAUUCGUGGGAGGGAGGGAGUAUUAAUUUAUAUUUUCAUUCUAGAUAAAAACAUUAGGUUAGAGUUAAAUUAAUACAACUCCACGUACUGUCUUUAAAAAAAAAGGACUGGAUGUACUAAUAUUUUAUGACAACCAUGACUUAAAAUUGCAUACAUUUAAAAAAAAAAAAACUUUACGUGUAAAUCUUAAAAAGAAAAAGGAAAAUGAUAAAUACACAUAUAUAUUCUGCAUGUAUAUUCUAUAUGAUCUAANUUUUUUUGUUAUAGACUUAUAGUACUUCGUCAAACUUCAAUUCUUUACGCGUUAAUGACUGAAAGUUUGAACACAUUCUAGUUGGUCUAAAAUUCACUCAUUGUCAUAAGAUUCAAUGAAUAAAAAUAGCAACAAAGUCUAAACACCCACAUUUAAAAAAUAACAAUAACAAAAAAGACUUUAUCGUAACAAAGUUUAGUUUGUUUGUUUGUUUUUUGUUUUUUUUUUUUUCCUAUCUCUUCCUAUUUUUCGCCUAUUAUUUUCAUAUUUUGCACAUUUAAAAAAUAACAAUAACAAAAAACUUUCAUCUUAACAAAAUAAUACUAAGACAUUAUACUAGCUAAUUUUUUUCUUAUUUUAUUAUCUCGGCCAUUUUCUAACCAAACUUAGUGUUGAGGUGACCGUCUGAAAUUUUACAUGUCCAAAUUCACCGAUUACUAAAACGACAUCGAUUUACAAAUUAUACUCCCUACUUCCCAUGAAGCAAGACCAAGUUUCCUUUUUGGUCUGUCCCACGAAACAAGACCAGUUUCUAAAAAUAGCAAAAGAUUUACUCUUUGUUCACCUUUUCACUUUUUCACCUACCCACUUAAUACACAAAAUACCAAUUUCUUAAUUUCUGUGCCGAAAAGAACUAGGUCUUGCUUCAUGGGACGAAGGGAGUAAUAAAAUAAGCGAGAUAAAAUCAUUUUAGACAAUCACUUCAACACUAAAUUUGGCUAUGGGAGAGAUAGCAAAUUGAAAAAAAAUAAAAAAAACUAAAGUAGUUUAGUACUCCCUCCGACCCACGAAUCUUGACACGUUUUCCUUUUUGGGCCGUCCCACGAAUCUUGACACGUUUCUAUUUUGAGUAAUAAUUAUUACUUUCUCUCUUCUACUUUAUCACUUUUAUUACUCUCUCUCUCCUACUUUAUCACUUUUAUAUUUUAUUAACUACACACUUAAAANNNNNNNNNNNNNNNNNNNNNNNNNNNNNNNNNNNNNNNNNNNNNNNNNNNNNNNNNNNNNNNNNNNNNNNNNNNNNNNNNNNNNNNNNNNNNNNNNNNNNNNNNNNNNNNNNNNNNNNNNNNNNNNNNNNNNNNNNNNNNNNNNNNNNNNNNNNNNNNNNNNNNNNNNNNNNNNNNNNNNNNNNNNNNNNNNNNNNNNNNNNNNNNNNNNNNNNNNNNNNNNNNNNNNNNNNNNNNNNNNNNNNNNNNNNNNNNNNNNNNNNNNNNNNNNNNNNNNNNNNNNNNNNNNNNNNNNNNNNNNNNNNNNNNNNNNNNNNNNNNNNNNNNNNNNNNNNNNNNNNNNNNNNNNNNNNNNNNNNNNNNNNNNNNNNNNNNNNNNNNNNNNNNNNNNNNNNNNNNNNNNNNNNNNNNNNNNNNNNNNNNNNNNNNNNNNNNNNNNNNNNNNNNNNNNNNNNNNNNNNNNNNNNNNNNNNNNNNNNNNNNNNNNNNNNNNNNNNNNNNNNNNNNNNNNNNNNNNNNNNNNNNNNNNNNNNNNNNNNNNNNNNNNNNNNNNNNNNNNNNNNNNNNNNNNNNNNNNNNNNNNNNNNNNNNNNNNNNNNNNNNNNNNNNNNNNNNNNNNNNNNNNNNNNNNNNNNNNNNNNNNNNNNNNNNNNNNNNNNNNNNNNNNNNNNNNNNNNNNNNNNNNNNNNNNNNNNNNNNNNNNNNNNNNNNNNNNNNNNNNNNNNNNNNNNNNNNNNNNNNNNNNNNNNNNNNNNNNNNNNNNNNNNNNNNNNNNNNNNNNNNNNNNNNNNNNNNNNNNNNNNNNNNNNNNNNNNNNNNNNNNNNNNNNNNNNNNNNNNNNNNNNNNNNNNNNNNNNNNNNNNNNNNNNNNNNNNNNNNNNNNNNNNNNNNNNNNNNNNNNNNNNNNNNNNNNNNNNNNNNNNNNNNNNNNNNNNNNNNNNNNNNNNNNNNNNNNNNNNNNNNNNNNNNNNNNNNNNNNNNNNNNNNNNNNNNNNNNNNNNNNNNNNNNNNNNNNNNNNNNNNNNNNNNNNNNNNNNNNNNNNNNNNNNNNNNNNNNNNNNNNNNNNNNNNNNNNNNNNNNNNNNNNNNNNNNNNNNNNNNNNNNNNNNNNNNNNNNNNCCGCCCGCGUCGAGGCGGCCGACGGCGCCUCUCCCGCUUUCAACCAAGUUUUUCAUUAUCACCAAACCAAAGCUCACGAAUUCGAUGAAGAGAAACGUAGGGUUCCGACAGGAUCCAAUCCUCUUCACAAUAAAUGACGUCGCGACGUCGUUUUUAGCCGUUAUUUACGAAUGCUUUCUAGCUAGAUAGCUCGAUAUAAAAGGUGAUGUUUCUUUUUUUUUUUCUCUCAUGCUUGGGGAAAAAAAUUAAUUAUUAUAUUUAGGUUGUAUUUUGUAUAUUUUUUAUUUUUAUAUAUAAAUUGUAAUUCCGUCCGUCUAAAUUUAUUUCUACGUGCAAAAGUAUAGUUUCGCCCGUCUAUUUUUAAAAUCCUAGCUCCGUCCCUGCUCAUGCUCGAAUAAUACUAUACAUUAAAUGUAGGAAUUUGAAUUCACGAUGUUUUUUAAAGUUUUAAUCACGAAGCUUAUCGUUCUACUAAUUAGGUCACCAAAAGAAGAUUUUAUUCGUGAGAAGUGAAGUUUUGAAGGCAAGUUUGAGAUUUCGACAGCGUGGCGUAGUUUUGUUAGUGUAUAUAUAUAUUAAUUGGAUUAUAUUUUUUUUGCUUCAAGCAGCAAUGAAGAUGGAUAGUGUGUGUCUGUGUGUGUAUAUAUGUUAUAUAUAUAGACAUUUACUUACAUAUAAUUUGAUGUUAGAAUGAGUAUUUUAGUUAGAGCUUCAGAGAUUGAUUUGGUUUGUAAUAUUUAAAUUGAGCGCGCUUACAAUAUUUUUCGCAUUCAUUUAAGCCCAGUUUGGAUUUUUCUUUGUUUAAAAUAAUAGUUGUUCUGACUUGAUAAAUAUAAAAAAAAAUAUUGGAAGGUUUAAUUAAAUACAAAUAUCAGUAUAUAAUAUCUCUUUAAUAUAUUAACAUGGGAUUUUUUUUGUUGAUAUAAUAAAUAUUGCAGAAUAUGCAUGUGUGUUUGUUUCUUGGGUUAAUUAUAGUUUGUAUUUUGUCAUGAGAUAUAUAUUUGCUACUUUUUAAUAAAAUGGUCCAUCUCAUAUUUUUGAAAUUGAAACUUUUUGUUACAUGUCAUAUUUUUGAAAAAUUAAGAUUUUUUUUUGUUUUUGCAUAUUUUAAAAGAUGAAUGAAUUUUGCAACUUAAUUAGCCCAAAACUUGUACCAUAGCUUUCAAAGGGAAAAGUGGAAUGGUUGUUAAAACAAGAUUGUAACUUUCUGUGUUUUUAAGAGGAUUAUAUGUUAUAAAAUUUGAAAAUGAGGACUAUAUGUUACGGAAUUUGAAAUGAAGACUAUAGCUUUCAUUUUGUAUAUUUAUACUCCUAUUUUGGACCGUGAUGAAAGUUAUAAUCUUUAUUUUGAUGUGUUAAAAAAGAAUAUUAAUUAAAAAAAAUCUUCUUUGUAAAAAAAAAAAUUAAUGAUCCUACUUUAACAAUUAGCUAGAAGAAUGUAUUCAGACGUACUUUCAUCGAAUUAAUUAUACAUACGAAACAGAUCGUGAAUGUAAUAAUUAGUAUAUCUGAUUGUAUGGGACCCCAUAUUUAAAAUAGCCAUUAUUUUAUACAACCACCAAGCAUAUCUUUUCAUAAUUAGUCACCUAACAUUCUCUCUCUCUCACACACAAGAUUUAUUAAAUGUCACACUAACUACGGAAUUGGGGUAUUUAGCAAAUUGAAUUUUAGGUACAUUUUAAAUUUUUUGAUCGAAUGACAUAGGAAGAGGUUCUAAUAAAAACCUCUGUUAAAAUGAGAACUAGGAACUUAAUUUUGACCUUUUAAAUAUUAGAUCUAAUGGUUAGGAACUUAGGAUUUAGUCAACAAAAGAAACUGUGCAUCUAUUAUAUUUUACUGUGCAAUUAAAAAAUAUGCAAUUGAAACCAACAAUGCAAAAUACUCAAGCAAAUCGAAAUUGUGCAUCUAUGCAAUUGAAACUGUGCAUCUAUGCAAUCGAAACUGUGCAUCUGUAGUUUAAUCUCAGCCCUCUAUUUUAUUUAAAUCAAUGGUUUUAAAUUGGUUCCUAGUUUUCAUCUUAAGAGGGGUUUUUAUAUUAACCCUACCCUGAUCACAUAUAUCUAAAUUUUGAAAAAAUCUGAAUUACUAUGCAUUAUAUUAUUAUAUAUACAAUUUAUAAUUAAUGUUUAUUUUAGUUUAUUGUUACGAAUGAUUCAUUCUCGUUUGUAAAGAUCGUUAGUUUGGCAACCAAACUCAUAACUUCAUAAGGCUCAUAAAAUUUAUCAUCAUCGAUCUGAUAAAAGGGAAAAUAAUAAAAUUUUAAAAUAUAUUCGGAAAAUAAAUCAUUGUUUCAAUGUUUCAAAUUUUAAUUCUCUGUUUCUAUCAACCCUAAAAGCAAAAAUAGGAGUGUCCAAAUACUUGAAAUUCACCUAAUUUUCUAGUCAAUAAUACAUCACUUUUUUUAAGCUUUUGCAAAUAUCCCAUGAUAUGAUAUUAUUGGUCCACAUAAAUCUAAUAUAGUCACAUUAGUCUAAAGAGCAAUCUUAAGAAAUAUGAUACUUAACUUUUAUAAGAGAAAAGGUUUCUUUUUAUGUAUUCUUCUAAUAAUGAUUUAUUAUCUGACUAAUCCCCACAGCAACUGCUUCAAAGAAACAACAUAAUAUAUGCUUUGCAACAUAUUUUAAUAUACUUUCUGUAUAGGUUACAAACUUACAAUAGCACUGCUCAUUGGCUCCACAAAACUAUGCAUUUUUUUAUUAUUAUUUUCGUCGGUCCACUAAAAUGUGUAAUUUCUAGUCAUGGAUAUCAUCUGUUAUUUUUUAAUCUCAAUAUCUUAACUUAUAACAAAUACUAGUUGUAGAUCUAUUCCUCUACUCAAAACAAUAUAAGUAAUGCGGUUUUUUUCCUCUACUCACAAUACAGUCAACUAAAGAGGCAUUUGGUUUAAGUGAUAAGACACGAUUGAUAAAUUCAAUUUAAUAAAGUGUUUGGUUUGAAUGAUUCGAUCUGUAAUAGAGAACUCGGCCCACACUCUAAUCAUCCAAUUGAGUGCCCCAAAGUUUCCUAAAUUAUUUAAUUACCCCUCAAUUCUUUCAAUCUUAUUUAUCUCAUCCUUCUAUCUAAACACCCGCUAACAUAAAUUCCGUGCAAAAGGAUGUGCUUAGAAUUAUCUUUAAGGUUUAGACGAUCUAAUUAUAUUAACCUAAUUGGCAAUAUUUAAUCUAACUCAUGUAGAUGUAAAUAUAAGAACAAGGUAAUUGAUGUGAUUAUAGGAUUAGACUGAUUUGCCUCUCUACUUGACUUUGUAAGUUAUAUUGACAUUUUUGGCACAAAAAUAAUUACAUGAUUGAAGUGUAGGAUUAGACUGAUUUGCCUCUCUACAUGAUCUACACAAACACGAACACAAUGCGAACACAAAAAAAUAGCAACAUACUUUGAAUCAUGUUAACACGACACAAAAAUGACACAAUUUAGUAAAAACCUGAUUAAAUGUGACCUGAUAUCAAUACUAUAAAACUAAGAAUUAAAAUAAAUAAAUAAAAAAGAACAUGAAAUUUUGUGUUGCUUGGGUGCGGAACAAAGGAUAAGAUUAGAAGUCUUCAAAAAGUCAAAAACUUUAACUUUAAAAUAAGAAUAAAAAUAAAUAUACUAGCUAAUAAAAAUAAAUUCUAACGGGUUACACGAACCAUAUAUAAAAUUAUCACGUCCUUAUCAAAUCAACACGAUAAGGACAUAAACCCCAUAAAACUUGACAUUAACCCAUUAAUUUCAUGCAAUUUCGUAUCGUGAUUCCGUAUCGUAUCAAAAAUUGUCAACCCUAUAACAAAGUUAUAUUUAUUUUACACACCCUCACACCUGCACUUACAAAAACAAAAACAACAACACUAACAUUAUAUAUAUAUUAACACUAACCCUAUUUUCCUAUACUGCAUAAUUAAACCAUAUCACAAUUGCAACCACCUAUCCAGUGGAGAAACAAAACAUUCAAGAUUUGGCACCCAAUGUUCUUGCAAGCUCUUUAAAGAGAGGCCUCUCUUUCAAAUUUUCUUCCUUUUCCAAAUGCCAUUUCUUUGAUACUUCCUCAGCCUAAAAAUCAACCAAAUAUGGAACCAAAAUUAGCAAGAAGAAUCCUUAACAACGAAGUGCAGCUCAAUUGGUAAGAUACUUAUCCUCUAAUCAAUAGGUUGUGGAUUCGAGUUGCCAUGGAAGGAAAAUGAAGAAUCAUUACUGAUCCUCGUUUAAUAAAAACUAAAAUAGAAUAAAAAUGAUCCAUCCUUCCUAUAUGUUCUAACCGACGACAUACCCGAUUCCGUAGAGGAGCCAAGCGCUCUUUGAACGUCUCGAAUCUCGGUUGAAUCAAGUCUUUUCCUUUAUUCCGAAUGUCGUUGGUCUGUAACCAAACAAAGGAAACAGAAUUUGAUACCUAAUGUUAAUAGAAGAAACGAGAAAUAGAACGGAUGCCAAGUAGUCGUCUUUAAACUUGUAACCGCAUAAAAAUGACAAUAAAAUGAAACAAAAGUUAUCGGUAUGUAGUCUAUGUUACCUAAAAAUGACUAAUAUUUGGUUCUUUACAAGCCAUCAGCAUUGUAAACCUACACCACUACAUCAAACUCGAGAGAGUUAUUGGAGCGCCGUCACCUUCAUUUCUGACAUUAAAUCCAAUUUAGACUGCUAUCAAGAAUCAUGGUGCUCGUGAAUCGGACAGAGUAUAUUUCAAUAACUAAUACUCCCUCCGUCCCAUUUAUAAUGACCCAAAAUCCACUUUAAGUGGGGUCCCUUCACUUUAUAGCUUUCAACAACACUUUCUUAAUAUGUGUGCCCAAAACACUUGAGCCAUACUUAGUCACACGGAGGGAGUACAUACCAAACCAAGAGUCGAGACGAGUCUUAUGUUUUUAUUGCAGAAUACCCUAGGAUUUUACCUAACUUCCCUUAUAAAUUGCUCUGAAUCAAUACAGUGUAAUGUUUGUAAUAGUUGAAAUGCAGUUGGUUCUUAAAUUUCCAAUAUACAACUAAUUCAAAUUGAGCAAAAUGAUAAUCACACCCAAGACAACAAUAAAAGCAACUAGAGAAGCUAGACCAACGGGAAACAAGUGCACAUAAUGAAUAACGUCUCACAUUCACAAAGAAAGACAGUUUACUGACAGAACUCAACACAACCAUUUUUUUCUCCCAGAAAUGUCUCAAAACUAUGCACGAAUAACUAUAAAGAUCAACAAUACUCACGUUAUGCACCUCGAGUCUUGAUGCUGCCAGCCCAAAGACCAAGGCAGCGCCACCAAAGACGAUAGCAGUAGCAACAGCGAAAGCAGAUCCAACUGCCAACGAAGAGACAACACCGAUAUGAGCUCGUUCCAAGUCAACAAAAAUGCUCAGAAACAUCUGAAUAUCUUAGAAAUGGCACUAUAAAAAGCACAAAUAGCUCGAUUGCCUCAUGAAGCCACGACAAACCAGAACUUACUCUGAGUUAACCCUGCAGCUGCGGCCUUCAGCUUCUCCGGGUUGAUAGGGGCGUACUUGUCUUGCCGCAAAUCAUUUGCAGUCGAGGCUACAACAGCACCCUCUGAAUCAGGUAGUUGCCACCUGAGUGUCACCAGAUAUUAGUCCAUAACCAUAGCAAGAAAAGAUCCAAAAGUGAUAAGACAAUACAUAAUGUACAAAACACAACAAACCAUUUAUUUCCUUUCAAUGAUUCGGUCAUAGAAAAAAACAACCACCUCAGUAAGUCUCCAUUUAUUCUUGCUCAAAUAUUAAGAACAGAUACAUACUUCACAAAAAUAACCAUAAGAAAUUCUCCAGAAUAAUAGCAACCAAAUUUUUUCCAAAAAACAACUUCAAAAUAUUAUCUUAAGAUGAUCAGUUUUCUGGUUUCCAAAAAUACAGUAAUUAUCGUCCAUUUGCACAUGAACACAUACAUAACACAUAACACAUACCAUGUGUGUAUUAGUAUAUAUGAGGAAGAGAUCAAUCCAUUCAAACAAACGGUUAGAAAUAAUACUGAAUCCUGAUUUUUCUCAAAUUUCAAAUCAAAUCACUCAUGCCAGAAUUUCGCAUAACCGCCAAAUACCUUGUUCAUGCAAUUAUUUUACUUAUGCGUUGUAUAAUAUAUUCAUGUGAAAGAAAAUGACUACCUUAUGUAAUGAAAAGGUAUCGCAAAUUUGAACUCAUUCAUGCAAGAACCUCAUAUAAUCAGCAAAUACCUUGUUCAUACAGCUACUUCACUAAUGCAAGUAGAAUGUAUUCAUGUUCACGCAAAUGGCUAUCUUAUGCAAAAAUGAGGUAUUGCAAAUUGCUUCAAAAUUCUUUUCCAAGAUUAAUCAUAUUUGUACAAUAAGGGGACGUUUACUUUGCAUGGUUGAGUAUUUUUAUCCUUAAUACUAGGAUUUCUCUAAUCCCACCAUUUCAAUGGGAUAAGAAUCAAGAAAAAACUAGCUUAAAUGAUAUAAAUAAUCAAGGGCCUUGAGAUAUCCCAAAAUUUCAAUCAAUCAAAGUAAACAAGGGACCAACCUUAUUAUUAUUAUUAUUAUCAAUCAAGGGUAAUCCUUCAAAGUAAACGCCUCCUAAUUGGAUUUGGUUCAUAGAAAUUCUCACUAGAUCCCAAUUCCCAACCUUAUACAUAUUAACUAACAGUAUCAACUAUACAAUGGAGUAUCAAUUACUGAAAACUAACAGUAGAUCAACUAUACAAUGGAGUAUCAAUUACUUAAUAAAAAAAAAAAAAAAAAAGACAAAUUUUUCUUUGAAAUUUUGUAGAAGGAAAAAAGAGAAGACCUUUUAGGUCCAAAUGUGACCUGAGGCAGAGAAACGUAACCCCUGAGAGGAUUUAGGGCAUCAGGCGACACCGCCGGCCCGCCGGGUCUUUUCGGGUCGGGCUUGAGGGCCCAUUUGGAAGCUCCGGAUAAAGAAGAAGAGCCCGAAUUCUCCGAUUGGGAGCUGAAAAUCUUUGAAGGGAGAGAGUGCCUCAAAACCUCAGGCAAAACAUCGGCCCGCGACGAAGCAAUUUCGCCGUUUUCAGCUAUCGGUGCGACGAGGCUGUUAGCAGCAGAAUUCUUCUGUUUCUCGAGGAGUCUGGUGACGGCUUGUUUGGAUUCCUGCAAGAAAUAGGAGCCCUCUUUGCUCGCCAAUCGCCCAGCAAGAAAACUCAUCUUUCUCUCUACCAUGCACUCUCUCUCUCUCUCCUUUAUAUAGUUGACAACACUAAAAUACACGAACACUCGUCUAAUUUUAAUUUUAUAUUUAGACUAGAAAUUAUGUUAUAAAUAUAUAAACUUUUAAUUAUUUUAAUUUUUUUAUACAAUCCUUACUUAUCACUACAUUAAAAUUUAGAUAGACGUAUGAAAUACCGACAUGCCUUAAACACAGAUCACAAAAAAUUGGUUACAAUCGGAUUCACCUGCUCCACCUAAAAUAUUGUUAUUUAUAAGAUCCGGGUUAUGAUACAAGUUCGAAUCAAAGUGUAGAUCAGAGUCUAAAUGAGGGUGUGCAACUCGAUUGUACGAUAUAUCUGAUUGUACCCAAGACCAUCUCUAAACCAAUAAUGUAGUUAGAUGUCUACGUGAUUUCAGAUUGACACGAUGAUAUUAAUAUACAACUUCAACUAACUACGAUAAUAUCAAUUCAUUGAAAAUUGAUAAUUAUGUUUUAAAAAAAAACUGAAAUUUCGUGCAUUUGAGAACAUAUUUGUGUAAUUUAUUUUCAAAACAAGAAUUUAAUGAAAAUAUGUGUAUUUAAGCACAAAUAUCCUUAAUUUUAUUAUACUUAGAAAAUAGCCCUAAACACCCAUAUUUUCCAAGACUAAGAUCGACUUUAUGAAAUACUUGGGGAACAAGUACGUACUAUUAAAAAAUGAAAAAAUUCUUUAAUGAACAUGUCAUGCUAUAAGGAUCCGUUUAAUUUGAGAUAUAAGAAAUGAACGAUCAUUAUUUAAAUUUUAUAUUUCGUUUGUUUUGAUAUAAUAAAAAAUUUAAAUAAAUUGUAUAAAAUUACGUGCAAAUGCGUGCAAUGAUGAACUCGAAUUAAGACAUUUGAUCUUAAACAUUAAUCACUUUAUCGAUAGGUCAAUACAGAUAUACAACGGGCAACAAGAUAUAAAAGAUAUGAUCCAUACUUUAUGUGAUAAAUUUAUAUCAUAUUAUAUUAUCUUUUUUAUUUAGAGGAUUAAAAUGCAAACACAAUCUAAUGAUACAUUUUAAAUAAAAAUUAAUUAAAAAACCCAAGCUGCUUUUAUGAUAAUAUUGAAAAGAAAAGGGUCAAAACUUUCGUCCAAUCGAAAUGAAUGGAGAAAAAAAUAGCCCUUGGUAAACAAGAAAUCCAAUUUCUUUGUUGUGACUUGUGAAUAUGAAAUUUCAACCCAUUCACUAUCAUACCUCCAUUUUAUAGGCAUUUUAUAUGCAGUAAUUCGCAAAUCUAAAUAUAUAAAUAAAAGAAGUUCUAUCUUCAGAAAUAGUAAAAUAUGUUUUUGCAGUCAAAAUUGCCUUACUUUUUUAAAAAUAUUUUUGUUUAUCUUAUAUUUUAUCUACUACAUAUCAUGCCUAUAUUUUUUGGUACAACUAGGUGUACCGUACAAUCGGAUUGUCUUCUCACUUAUACCCUAACUCACACUCUGACUCAAAUCGUAUAAAUAACACUAUUUUGGAUGCGGGUCAACCCGAUUGUACCCAAAUUUUUGUGAUUUUUUUAUUGUCCUAUUAAAAUGUUAGUUAUUUUUUUAUCCUUAAAUAUAUUAUAAGUGUUGGUUAUACAGAUAUAUAAAAUGAUCACAAAUGUCAAGUAAAUGUAUAUAAAAUAUUCAAUAAACAUAAAUAAAAUUAUUAAAAUAUUAAUAUUGAUAAGAUUUAUAAUUAUACAUGAUUUUUAACAUAUUUAUUUAUUUAUUGAAUAAUAAUUGAAUUUAAGUGUAUUAAUUUUUUAUAUUCAUAUACUACUAUGAAUUAAUAAUUGAGUUUUAAAUAUAAAAUUAUUUUAUUUAUGUAUUUUUAAAAAAAUAAUAUCUCCCGCACAUCGCACGGACUCCGAGUACAUAAAAAAAGAAAAACACUAUUUGUUGACAUUAGCUGCAAUAUUGUAAUGAAUAAACUACCAAAAGAUCUAAAAAAUUAUGAUUUCAUAAUUCAUAAUCUAGACCAGAUCCAUAUUUCCAAGCCUCAAGCUUCUGCUUCCAUUCGUAUCUCAUUCUUGCUGGGAAUCUGUUCGUCAAUGGCCUGCAAAAAACCUCAACUAAAUAUAAGGAUUUAAAAAGGGUUAUUCUUAAAAUAAUAGUCUGAAUUUCGACCUCAUGGUGACUUUUUAAUCGCAAUUUUAAAAUAUUAGUACAAAAUAUAACUUGUACUCCCUCCGUCCCAAACGAAAUGUCAUGUUUUCCUUUUUGGGCUGUUCCAAACGAAAUGUUUUGUUUCCUUUUUUGGCAAUACACUCUCUCUCUCUAUACUUAAUAUUUAAAUAAUUUCCACCAACCCACUUUGUCUACUUUAUACACAUUUCUUAAUCUUUGUGCCGAAAAGAAAUAGGACAUUUCGUUUGGGACGGAGGGAGUACUUAUCUCCGUUGUUCAUUUAAUAACCAAAGUCAAAAUUUCCGACCAAUCAUCAAAAUCAAUGAUAUGCCGACAAACCUACUAAAACUCUCUUAAGUUGCCCGAAAAUUAUGUCUCGAGCUAUUAGUGAACAAUGGAAACUAGGAAAGACUGCAUUUGUAAUAUUUUUAAGUUUGGGUUAAAUAGUCGCUAUGAGAUCAAAGUUCGGGCUAUAAUUUAAGAGUAACCCACGCACUAAAAUUUGGUUGGGGGUGCUGAAGCACCCCCCAGCCCCUAAAUCGGCCCAUGGCAGUGCGUCUCACGGCAUGUUUCAGGGAAAUCGGAGGGUUCGAAAACUCGUUACCUAAUCAAAGGGUCGACAUAGCAAGAAAGAAAUGUGUAGUAUCCUAGCAUCGCAAAGUGUCCCAACCAGUCAAGAAGCACUGGUAUGCCAACCUGCAUUUUCAAGAUUCACAAGCUGUCUUAACUCAAACCAAUCCCUCUCUCUCUCUCUCUCUCUCUCUAUAGAAAGAAGAGAUAUACCUGCUGGAAUAUCGAAGGUAAGAUUUGAGGUCGAGUUAGCAUCACUAGGCCUAAUGUCUUGACAAGAGGGCCAAAUUGAAUGACAUCCUGCAAUGUGAAGUUCAAAUGAGUUUCUUGAUCAGCUCGAACGAGAUUUAUAGAAGAUAACGAGACAGAUAUACGUAUAUACUGACCUGAAGAAACGGCCUAAGCACCGGAUCUCCUAGCUUCUGGAGGAGAAACACGAAGCUCAAGAAUGUGAGGCGGCGAAGAACACAGCUUAUGAAGAAAAAAGUAAAAAAAAAGAGUUGUUUUUUUGGGUUAAUUGCAUAGAAUUUACUGAACUUUUAACAAAUUCUCAUUUUGCACACAAACUUAAAAAUCUGUAUUAAAAUUACUCAACUAUUAAUCUUUUCUCAUUUUGCAUAUUCGCUCAUUUUUCGAUGUGAUGACAUGGCAUAACUAUGUUCGUGUGGCAUAAUAUAACCGCAUGGAAAAACAUAGCCAACAUUAUAUUGUAUAGUUGGAUGGAAAUGACGUCAUUUCAGAAACAAAGUUUGGCCGAAAAAUUGGACAAAUGCAAAAUCAGAAAAAUUUAACAGUUGAAUAAUCUUAAUUAUGUAUUUUGAAGUUUGUGUGCAAAAUGAGAGUUUGUUAAAAGUUCAAUAAGUUAUAUGCAAUUAACCCUUGUUUUUUUUCUCAUAAGCAGCACCUGCAUGCUCGCGAAAUUGGCAUAUAAAAGCUCGUUUAUGAAAGUAGGCGAAACAUUGGAUUGCCUCUUCGCGGACAUGGCUCUUUGAAACAGCCACGACGAGCUCAAGUUUGGCUGCAGGGACAGAUUUGAGCAACACGAGACGACACCAAUAUUAAGUCGUUUUAGAUUUGAUGAAGUCAUGAAGAGAAGAAGGUACUAACCAUGUACGGAUUAAGCAACGAUAAGCUCCCGGAAUCGAGAAAAUUGUUGUUGAUCGCUUCAUGUAUGCCUUAAGCCUCACAAAAACAGAACAAAACUAGUUCAGAAACAGACAUUCUUGUUCUGUUUGUGGCAACCUUAAUCUAUAAUUUUCUGAAAUACAGUGAAAAUAUAACUAACCUGCUGAUAAUCUUCCGAGGUGUCUUGUCAAGCUCCCGAAGCCUCCGAAAGAAACGGGGGAUUGUAUGCCACUCGCGUCGCCAAACUGUAGAGAUCAUGCUCGGAGGCAACGGUUAAUUGCACCAAAAAUCACAACAUUUACACCAACUUGCAAAUUCCCGAAUUUUGUAAAAUUUAACGAGAAUGGCGGGUAAAAAACCUGAAGAACGCGAUCAAAAGCCGCUGGCAACGGACUAUAGGCUCGUUCCAGAAGAAUUCAACAGAAAACAGCAACAAAAAUUAGUCAGAUCACAUAAUUUUUGAAGCAGAGAUAGUGUUGUUGAAGUUUAUAUUCAGUUGCGGUUUUUUACCUGUCACGAUACGUAGGAAAAAUGCCGUAAAUCACUCUCAAGACCUCUAGUUCGUCGAGAGAGACAUUCUGCGAAGUUCAAACAAACAAAAUCGUAUCAAGAGAGACGAGCCAACUAACAAAACGAGAAGCAUUACUUGAUAUUGUGGCAUCAGCUCCCAGUAAUCCUCGAGCAGCUCUUCCAGUAGGGAGAUCCGGGCUCGGGGUUAAGGUAGGUGAACAUAUACGUGGUUCGAUCAAGAGGGCCCGAGCCAGCAGGAAACGCCUAAAAACAACUAAAUAUUAUCACACACACACACACACAAAAAGUCCACUAGAAAGAAACGCGUGUAUGAAGCUCGCUGCACCUCCCAGAAGUACUGAGCUACCGACUUUCCAACACUCUUCGCUGAGGCACUGCUGAAUAUGACGUCACUCGUGGUGUUCUCUUUGAAGCCACGGCAACAAGAGCCAACCACUAGGCACACCCCAUCUGGCUUCCUUCCUCGUCUAAUCUGCAAAACUCAAACGCAUCAGAAGCCUUUACUCACUUUUAUCAACAACUGAUAACAUUAUAUAAAAGUAUUCUCAACUUGUCUAACGACGGGAGAAAAAUUCCCCAUUGCAUCAAUAAUGAGACGUGAAGACAAAAUCCUUCCAUCGGCUAGUUGUAACAUCUGUGAGAAAAUGAAAUAAAUUAGUCAGAUUUUCUUCUAUUUCAUGGCUUGAAAUUGUAGGUAAAUAUAUGCUUACAGCUGCAUCCUCGUAAAUUGAUAUGUUCGAUACACUGCAACUCUCCAAGAUGACACCACCGAGCAAUUCAAAACGUUUUCUCGCGAUUUCUAUGAGCUUGACAGGCCUAUAAAAUUCAAGAAGAGAAAAUUAAUGAUACAACUGAUUUGUGAGAUCUAUAAGCUCUUAGGAUGUCAUUAGCUAGCUUAAGCAAACUGAAAAUCGGUGAAACAUAAAGAGACUUCUACGUUCUUUGCAUAGAGACAUUCACAUUCACAUAUAAAGAGAAAUACAUGCUGCAGCUUAAGUUAAAUGCAGUGAUGUAACUCAUAAAUAAACUUAGGUAAAUCAGUGAUAAUAAAAGAUUAAACUUACGAAAUACCAAGAUUGAGAAUGUCGUUAACCCAAAUCUCGCCUUUCCCUUCAAAUCCACACCUAUUCUGCAAAGUUAUCACCAUACUAUACGUCAAGAAGCCUCUUCCUAACAAGAAAACUAACGAGAAUCCAACUACGCUGCUUAAUCUCCCAUGCUCGUUUUAAGGGGAAAGCAUCUGUGCCUUAUAAACUAAAGUAACAUCCGAGAUAAAGCAACAUACGGGAUUGAAACUGGCUGCAACAACACAAUCAAUGUCGUCUUCUGCUAGAACACCGACUUCAGCAAGCUCCAAGAGCUCCUUCCUCGAUAUAUUCCAUUCUUGCUCUCUCUGGCCAUCACAAAAGGGGAAAAUGGUUAAAAGUUAACCACCAUUUUUGAGGAUCGUCAGCCCCUUCAAAGAUCCAACGACAAAGCCAGCAGAAACCACAGUAUACCCCUUUGAGUAUGCCCUUCUCGACAAUUCCAACACGAAGGCCUCUAGAGCUCAAAGCAGCAGCAAUGAAAACUCCCAAGGUGCCACCACAAACUACCACAUCAAACACAUCACCACAUUUCUCAGACAUCUCGGAUUCACGAAACAGACCAGGAACACUCGAAACUACUUGCUGAGGCUCUUGCACAACUGAAAUUUCCAAAAAGUUUGAACAUUUAUCCCUCUCUAUUCAAAACCCUAAAUAGAAACAUUAAAAUUAUAGAAAAUCAUAGAAAUUGAGAAUGUGAUUAAUGUAGACCUGAUGAAGCAGAGCAAAUGCUAGUCCACAAAUUAUCCAAUCUUUUCAAAGCAUUGUAUGAAUAUGCACCACCAGCACCACCAACUUCCCCACUCACUGGCAAUUUCUCCAUUAUCCUCUAAAAAUUACCAAAUUAAAUCCAAUUUCAGAUUCAUGGGCACUCUCCAAAAAUCACAAGAAUAUGUGUAACAGCAAGAAAAUAAUGAGAUAUGGAACAAACUUGACAUAAAUUUUUUUUAAAAUGAAGAAAUUAAAGAAGAAAAUACUUGGGUUCUUGAAGGAAGAGUAGCUUGUGCUAGUAGCUGAAAUUUCCUAGGUUUGGGGAGUGGAGAAGGAGCUGCAAAUGAUCCACGAAAGAGGGGCAAGACUCCAUUUUUCACCUGCACCACCAUCAUUUUCUCCAGUAAUUCUUGCAAAUUUUGAAGAAUCUCAGUGUUUUCUAGCUUUAUUAGCUUCGAGAUUCUCUCCCACCAUGUAAUUUUUGCAGUAAGCCCAUGAAUGAAAUCUUGGAGCUUAUCUCACAUCUGCAACUAGCAUCAAGAAACGUGCCCAAUUCUCCCCUUCUCCUUGUGGUGAAAUCUCGACCUCUGCUAUAAUCUAUGGUAUGAAUUUCAUCGUGAUAUGUUUAUUUGCAUACUCUGCGCAUGCAAUAAUUCCUUGAAUUUAAAAACUUACAACUUGAAAACUUUUGCAUAGAUAAUAUGACAUGUAAUUGCGACUAAAAUCUAAAAUACUUCAAUUUUCAUCAAAUUUCAAUUAUAUAUAUGAAUUAUACGAUUUUUUUUAUUAUUUAAUAUUCCCUCCGUCUCAACGAAGAUGCUGCAUAUUUAUUUUUGGGUCGUCUCAACUUCCAAUGAAGAUGCUACAUUUCUAAAUAUGAAAAAAAAUAAGGGAUUUUAAUUACAUAAUUACAACUAAUUAAUAACUCCCUUAUUACAUUUUUUCUCCUAUUUUAUCACUUUUUUAUUUUCUCUCUCAUACUUUAUCACUUUAUUAGUAUAUACUUAAAACACUAAUCUACAACUUCUUAAAUCUCGUGCCGAAAAGAAAUGUAUCAUUUUGGCUGGGAUGGAGGGAGUAUAAUUUUUCACACUAUUACUAAUUAAUUCUCCCGUUUUAUUAAUAAUGACAUAAUUUCUUAUUUCGUCUAUCUCAUUAAUAAUGGCGCAUUUUAAGGAAGAAAAAUAUUUUUCACAAAAAAUUGUUGGCUCCACUAUUAUCUAUCACUUUUAUCAUGAGUUCACUCUUCUUGAUUUGGGAAAAAUUAAAAUUUAUUUAAAAAAUAAAAAAAGUCUUAUAGCAUAUGUAUUUUAAUACUAAUCUCAUAGUAUAUUGGAAAAUUAAAAAUUUAACUAUAAUGUAUGAAUUAACCUUCAAUUAACUCAAUUUUAUAUUUAUCCGAUAGAUUAUUUGAUGCUAGUCUUAGUCUCAAAACGUAAAAAAAAAACUGGAAAUCAAAUUUCACUCUAUGAUUUUAUAUAAAAAUAAAAGUUUUUUUUGUACUCCCUCCGUCCCACGAAUCUUGAUGCAUUUGUUUUCGGCGCGGGAAUUAAGGGAUUGUAGAUUAAUGUUUUAAAUGUGUAGGUAAUAAAGUAGAAAAAUGAUAAUUAAGUAUAAUUAAGAAUCUUUAUUUUUUAGCUAAUUCUUCAUAUAUUUAGAAAUGCAUCGAGAUUCAUGAAACGACCAAAAAAGAAUAUGUAUCAAGAGAUUCGUGGAACAGAGGGAGUAUAUCCUACUACUACGAGAAUAGAGUGUUACAAUUAAGCUAACAACGGCCCAUUAAUUCUAAGUAGCCCAAGCCCACUCAUUUUAUGUUAUGGGCGAGGCCGUUUUAGCAUUUAUGGAGAUUAUUGGACUUAUUAGUAUAUUCUAUGAAACUAAAGGGGCUUUUUUGCAAUAAAGAGAAACUCUUGGAAUCUCAAGUAAAAAAGAAUUCUCACCUCUUUGUGGAUAAACCUCGUUGCCACUUACAGUUCCAGUUCGAGGGGUUUAAGGAAAGCUGUAAUCAUCGAAACGAAAAGGGUAACUAAUUCUUCUCUCGUACUAUUUCUCACCUCUAUUCUCCUGAUUCAAUCUAUUCUCCACACUCAACUCCACAGCGCCGCCCCACGGCCCUCCGCCGUCGCCCGUCAGUCUGCCGCCGAUCAGUAGCCUUCCGCCCCACGCCCCUCCGCCGGUCAGUAACACCAAUUCUGGAAAAUAGUUUUACUUAAGAUAAUACUUGAAAAGCAUGUCUGAUUUUUUUGUUUAUGUGUGUUAAAAAUGUUGGGAUUUGAUGCGUUUGGGGGAAUAUCCAGUCAAAAGAACUAAAGAAGGGAGUUGGGUUAUCAAUUUUAAGCUUUCUCUUAUCUGCUGCUUAUGUUUUUGUUCGAAUAUCAGGUUUCGUUUUACCUUUUUCGGAUUAACAGGCUUGUGGUUGUGGAUUUUCAUAUUUCUUUUGAAUUUCGGAUUUUUAGGUUCGGAUCGGAUUUAAUCCGAAAUAUUUCGGAUUUUUGGAUAAUAUGGUUCGGAUCGGAUUGAAUUUUAGUGAAAUUUCGGAUUUUCGUAUCGGAUCGGAUCAGCCAAAUGAAAUCCGAAUGCACACCCCCUUUCCUUAUUCUGAUUUUCUGCUUGCUUAAGGCAAAUUUGUUUCAGAUUCUUCUUUUUUUGCAUUUUUAAUUUUAGUUUUUUUUUCCUUUUAAUUUUUUAUUGUAGUUGAGGUUCAUUGUUUAUAAUCUGUAAAGAAAUGGAAGAAAUUCAUGCUUACAGAAACCCAGAAUCCUUGCCUUAAAAAAAGGUAUCGCUGGCGGUUUUACAUUUCUUGCCUUUCGUUUAUGGUUUUACAGUUAUCAUCGUUCGAUGCUAUAGUUCUUUUUCUUUUUUAUUUUAAUAAAAAGUUUGCCUUUUUGUAUAAUAUAUAUUUGUGGAUCAUAAAUAUCAGUGGAAAUUGUUGAUGUUAAAUAUUGUGCAUAAUUAGGGAAAUAUUGUGGAGACCAAGCAUCUUUUAAUCCAAAAAAAUAAUGAGAUCUGAGAUUUGAACAAAAUUGUUGAUUUGAAGAUGUUGAAUGAAUCUGUCUGUGUGGAUGCUGGUUUUUUCUUAGAUCAACUCCUUUUUCAUAUAAUAUAUAGAUAUAUAGAUUCCUUUGUCUUCUGUUGUCAAAAAACUAUUGAUAUCUUUGUAGAACUUUUAGGUUCAAAUCUUAUUGUUAUUGUUAUUUGUUAUUUGUGAUUUAUGAUCUAAGGUAAUGAGUAGCGAUGAUUUUUCCCACAAAAGACUGUGUUACAUGAAUUCUUAUAAGGUUUUUUAAAAAACAAGUGGUGACUCGAAUCCCGACCUAUUGGUGGGAGGGUAAGCGUCUUACCAUCUGACUUGCUCUUCGUUGUCAUGAAUUCUUAUAAGCUUUAAGCCUAUAUGGUUGUAGGUGAUAGUGCAUAUCUGAAAUCUUGCUUCUACCCUCGUUUAACCGUUGUUUACGCUUUGAACGAAGGAACUAGACUCAAUCCUCUGUAUUUCCGCGCAGUUGCAUUCCCUAUUGGGUUAGAAAAUCAUCGGAUAUGGCUACUAGUAUCAUGGCUCCGUUGCUGACCCCCUCGUCUUCUGCCAAUAAGCACAAAAGUUUCGUUACGAGCUCGAGGGUAGUGCCCGUACGAGCGAUGAAGGUGGAGAAGCCGUUGGAGGAGCUCUACGGCGUGAAGGUAGAGAGGAAAGUGGCGAAGGAGCGCCUAUCGGAGCUCGGUGUCUCGAGAUGGUCCGUGUGGAAGACGGGCAAGUGCAAGCUCCCGUGGGACUGGCAGGUCGAUCAGCUCGUUUAUAUCGAGGAAGGGGAGGUGAGAGUGGUGCCGGAAGGAAGUAAGCGUUACAUGAGCUUCGUUGCCGGGGACCUCGUUCGUUAUCCCAAGUGGUUCGAAGCCGAUCUCUUCUUCAACGAUUUCUAUCAAGAACGGUAUAGCUUUCGAGCAUAUGGUGAUGAUUAGCAGAUGUUGAUCAUCUUGAUUUGAUUCUCUGUUGAAGGUAGAAAAUAUGUUUGUUGUGUGAUGAAGUCUAGCAAAAAAUCUUUGGAUUUUGAUUUAUAUUUUUCUUGCACUUUAAUGUUGUUAAUCUCUGGUUGUAUAAUUUAUUCAUUUCCAUUAGUUAUUUAGACUGUGACUCGUCAUUCCGUCGUCGAAUAAUGUUUUGUGAUGUAACAAACAAACUGUGAAGUUAAACUGCAGAGCAUUUAACAUUUAUAUAGGGUAAAUAUCACUUUAAAUUAUGGUCGAUCAAUUAGUUUAUUCUUAACUAUCUAAAAUGUUUGUUUAAAUCUUGAACUAUUAAUUGUAUACUUCAUUCAUUUUUCAUCAUUUGAAUUUUCAAUUAGUAAGACACAUAAUGACGUUGUUUUACAAGAUGUAGGUUAAAAAAGAAUAAUUCUAAACAUAUUGUGGUAUCAGUCACGUCAAAUUUCGAAGCCAAAAAAAUGAAGGAAUUAUACAAUUGAUACAAAAUUAAGAGUUCAAGAUUUAAAAAAAUAUUUUCGAUAAUUUAAGAUAUUAUUGAUAAUGCAAAAAUAGUCUGGGGUUUAAAGUGAUAUUUACCCUCUACGUUAACUCACAUAUAGACAAUUAAAUUUAUAUAAAGUCGGUCCAAAUUUCAGGAGGGUUUUUUUGGGUUUCAAAA